GAUGAAGAACGUAGCGAAAUGCGAUACUUGGUGUGAAUUGCAGAAUCCCGUGAACCAUCGAGUCUUUGAACGCAAGUUGCGCCUCAAGCCAUUAGGUUGAGGGCACGUCUGCCUGGGCGUCACAUAUCGUUGCCUGAUGCCAGUUUCCUCGUGAUGGGUGACUGUGCAGGGCGAAUGAUGGCUUCCCGUGAGCAUUGUUGCCUCAUGGUUGGUUGAAAAUUGAGUCCUUGGUAGGGAGCGCCGUGAUAAAUGGUGGUUGAGUGACGAACGAGACCCAAUCAUGUGAGACCCCUACCGAAUUUGGCCUUCAUGACCCACAUGCGUCUUUGGAACGCUCAUGACGAGACCUCAGGUCAGGCGGGGCUACCCGCUGAGUUUAAGCAUAUCAAUAAGCGGAGG
rnacentral:misc_RNA from 1 species